rnacentral:rRNA from 1 species
UGAGGAAUAUUGGGCAAUGCCCGCAAGGGUGACCCAGCAACGCCGCGUGGAGGAUGAAUGUCGUAAGAUUGUAAACUCCUGUUAGAGGGGAAGAAUAGUACCGGUUGGACCGGUAUAUGACUGUACCCUCAGAGAAAGCCCCGGCUAACUACGUGCCAGCAGCCGCGGUAAUACGUAGGGGGCAAGCGUUGUCCGGAUUUACUGGGUGUAAAGGGCGCGCAGGCGGGAUAAAAAGUCAGUGGUGAAAUCCUACAGCUUAACUGUAGAACUGCCUUUGAGACUUUUAUUCUUGAGUUCGGGAGAGAGAGACGGAAUUCCAGGUGUAGUGGUGAAAUCCGUAGAUAUCUGGAAGAACACCAGUUGCGAAGGCGGUCUCUUGGUCCGACACUGACGCUGAGGCGCGAAAGCGUGGGGAGCAAACA